GCACUGGAAGGUCCCUAAACCGAAAGGGGCUCUGCCCGCCCGAGGAUGGGCCGGCGGCCGAUUAGGUAGUUGGUGGGGUAACGGCCCACCAAGCCCAUAAUCGGUACGGGCAGUGAGAGCUGGAGCCCGGAGAUGGACACUGAGACACGGGUCCAGGCCCUACGGGGCGCAGCAGGCGCGAAACCUCCGCAAUGCUCGAAAGAGCGACGGGGGGACCCCAAGUGCCGUGGUACAACCACGGCUUUUCCGGAGUGUAAGAAGCUCCGGGAAUAAGGGCUGGGCAAGGCCGGUGGCAGCCGCCGCGGUAAUACCGGCGGCCCGAGUGGUGGCCACUAUUAUUGGGCCUAAAGCGUCCGUAGCCGGGCUUGUAAGUCCCUGGCGAAAUCCCACGGCUCAACCGUGGGGCUUGCUGGGGAUACUGCAAGCCUUGGGACCGGGAGAGGCCGGGGGUACUCCUGGGGUAGGGGUGAAAUCCUAUAAUCCCAGGAGGACCGCCAGUGGCGAAGGCGCCCGGCUGGAACGGGUCCGACGGUGAGGGACGAAGGCCAGGGGAGCAAACCGGAUUAGAUACCCGGGUAGUCCUGGCUGUAAAGGAUGCGGGCUAGGUGUUGCUUGGACCUCGAGUCCAAGCAGUGCCGCAGGGAAGCCG
rnacentral:rRNA from 1 species